rnacentral:rRNA from 1 species
UACGUAGGGGGCUAGCGUUGUCCGGAAUCAUUGGGCGUAAAGCGCGUGUAGGCGGUUCGGUAAGUCCGCUGUGAAAGUCGGGGGCUCAACCCUCGGAUGCCGGUGGAUACUGUCGGACUAGAGUACGGAAGAGGCGAGUGGAAUUCCUGGUGUAGCGGUGGAAUGCGCAGAUAUCAGGAGGAACACCAAUAGCGAAGGCAGCUCGCUGGGACGGUACUGACGCUAAGGCGCGAAAGCGUGGGGAGCGAACAGG